rnacentral:rRNA from 1 species
GACGAACGCUGGCGGCGUGCUUAACACAUGCAAGUCGAACGGAAAGGCCCUGCUUUUGUGGGGUGCUCGAGUGGCGAACGGGUGAGUAACACGUGAGUAACCUGCCCUUGACUUUGGGAUAACUUCAGGAAACUGGGGCUAAUACCGGAUAGGAGCUCCUGCUGCAUGGUGGGGGUUGGAAAGUUUCGGCGGUUGGGGAUGGACUCGCGGCUUAUCAGCUUGUUGGUGGGGUAGUGGCUUACCAAGGCUUUGACGGAUAGCCGGCCUGAGAGGGUGACCGGCCCCAUUGGGACUGAGAUACGGCCCAGACUCCUACGGGAGGCAGCAGUGGGGAAUAUUGCACAAUGGGCGGAAGCCUGAUGCAGCAACGCCGCGUGCGGGAUGACGGCCUUCGGGUUGUAAACCGCUUUCGCCUGUGACGAAGCGUGAGUGACGGUAAUGGGUAAAGAAGCACCGGCUAACUACGUG